rnacentral:rRNA from 1 species
AGUGAACGCUGGCGGUAGGCCUAACACAUGCAAGUCGAACGGCAGCACAGUAAGAGCUUGCUCUUACGGGUGGCGAGUGGCGGACGGGUGAGGAAUACAUCGGAAUCUACUUUUUCGUGGGGGAUAACGUAGGGAAACUUACGCUAAUACCGCAUACGACCUACGGGUGAAAGCAGUGGAUCUUCGGACCUUGCGCGACUGAAUGAGCCGAUGUCGGAUUAGCUAGUUGGCGGGGUAAAGGCCCACCAAGGCGACGAUCCGUAGCUGGUCUGAGAGGAUGAUCCGCCACACUGGAACUGAGACACGGUCCAGACUCCUACGGGAGGCAGCAGUGGGGAAUAUUGCACAAAGGGCGCAAGCCUGAUCCAGCCAUACCGCGUGGGUGAAGAAGGCCUUCGGGUUGUAAAGCCCUUUUGUUGGGAAAGAAAAACAGCAGGUUAAUACCCCGCUGUUCUGACGGUACCCAAAGAAUAAGCACCGGCUAACUUCGUG